CUAUGAUGUGUGUGCAACCAGGCUGUUUGGCAACAGUAAUGUCAUACUGUUUACUGGAAAAACAGAUGGAUAGUAAAUUGUUUUCUGCUCCUAUGGCAGAGUCUUGGUCCUCCUUUGCCAAAUUCGAAGUUUCUCCCAAUCUUCAAGGUUUCUACUUCAGCCACUUAGAAGCAUUUUCCCAGGAUCUAAUACAAUGUUCACUUCUUUUGUUAGCCAUGAUUGGCUGACCUUUCAUGCUGGGUUUUUGUGCCUCAAAAAAAAUGCAAAUUUAUUGUGUUUUAACUAUCCAAAUGUUGGUCAUUUCCUGUCCACUGUCAUAUGUUUCAAUGUUAGUUCUAAUGCAGACAAUGCAGUGAGAAAACCUUCCUUAACAAGCUUUUUAGAUCAAGAUUAUUAAGUUUUCUCAUUGCACAAUACUAAUAUCUCAUUUUAUAGCUAAUUCCUCAACACAGAAAAUAAUUUAUAAUCAUGCAAAAUCACACAGUUUAUGUCUGGACAGUAUUAAAUAUUGAUCUUUUGAAUUUGGCUGAAUUUUAGCCACAACUUACUCGUAUUCAGGAUCAGUUCUUUCCGGUUCCACUGAAUUGCAUGAGAAUAGAAAUAAUUCACGGAAAAAUCAAUCACAACAGUAUUCUGAAUUAUGAUUCUUAUGUAACAAUUAACAGCACAUUUCAAAUUUAUACCCAAAUCUCCUCGAUGUUACAACAAAGUUUAGAACUUUGCAUGCAUUAGUUCUCUAGUCACACAUACAUUAAUUUUCCUGUAUCAUGUUACAAUAUUAAAUAUUUAGCUGAAAGCAAAAUUGCAAGCCACUAAUCUACCUAUUGGGCACACAGGGCAUUUUCUCAUCUAAAUACACUACGUUUCAAAAUUUUACUAAUGCUGUGCAUACAUUUAAAUGCAGUUAGUUCUUUUCAAAACCAAAUAAAGAAAAGUUUCCCUUGGCUGUAAUUUUCAGAUGUAUCACCUAUGUGCCACUGACUGUAAUGGAUUUGGAAACAUAGCUUGGUGAAGAGAUAUAACACCUCAUAAUAGCAUGAAAAAAAAAUUAUGACACAAAGAGUGGCUGUCAGGAACUGUGCACUAAAAUUAAUAUUUUUAAUAAUAUGUAGAUGAACUUAAAGUUUAUCUAUGUUGAAUUAAGGAAUAAAGUAUGCUCACAUUACAA